rnacentral:rRNA from 1 species
CCUACGGGGUGCUGCAGUGGGGAAUAUUGGGCAAUGGACGCAAGUCUGACCCAGCAACGCCGCGUGAAGGAAGAAGGCUUUCGGGUUGUAAACUUCUUUUAAGGGGGAAGAGCAGAAGACGGUACCUCUUGAAUAAGCCACGGCUAACUACGUGCCAGCAGCCGCGGUAAUACGUAGGUGGCAAGCGUUGUCCGGAUUUACUGGGUGUAAAGGGCGUGCAGCCGGAGAGACAUGUCAGAGGUGAAAUCCACGGGCUCAACCCGUGAACUGCAGUUGAAACUGUCACCCUUGAGUGUCGGAGAGGUAAGCGGAAUGCCGGGUGUAGCGGUGAAAUGCGUAGAUAUAAGGAAGAACACCAGUGGCGAAGGCGGAUUACUGGACGAUAACUGACGGUGAGGCGCGAAAGCGUGGGGAGCGAACAGGAUUAGAUACCCGUGUAGUC